UACGUAGGUGGCAAGCGUUGUCCGGAAUUAUUGGGCGUAAAGCGCGCGCAGGCGGUUCUUUUAAGUCUGAUGUGAAAGCCCACGGCUCAACCGUGGAGGGUCAUUGGAAACUGGAGAACUUGAGUACAGAAGAGGAAAGCGGAAUUCCACGUGUAGCGGUGAAAUGCGUAGAGAUGUGGAGGAACACCAGUGGCGAAGGCGGCUACCUGGACAGGUACUGACGCUGAAGCGCGAAAGCUAGGGGAGCAAACAGG
rnacentral:rRNA from 1 species